AUUCCAGCUCCAAUAGCGUAUAUUUAAGUUGUUGCAGUUAAAAAGCUCGUAGUUGGAUUUUGGGUCGGGGGCACCGGUCCGCCGUUCCGGUGUGCACUGGUGGCCCCUUCCUUUCUGCCGGGGACGUGCGUCGCACUUAAUUGGGUGGCGUUCGGAGUCGGCGUUGUUACUUUGAAAAAAUUAGAGUGUUCAAAGCAAGCCAUCGCUCUGAAUACAUUAGCAUGGAAUAACAUGAUAGGACUCCGGUCUUAUUUUGUUGGUUUCCGAGACUGGAGUAAUGAUUAAGAGGGACAGUCGGGGGCAUCCGUAUUUCAUUGUCAGAGGUGAAAUUCUUGGAUUUAUGAAAGACGAACUUCUGCGAAAGCAUUUGCCAAGGAUGUUUUCAUUA
rnacentral:rRNA from 1 species